AGCGAACGCUGGCGGCAGGCCUAACACAUGCAAGUCGAACGAAGUCUUCGGACUUAGUGGCGGACGGGUGAGUAACACGUGGGAACGUGCCUUUAGGUUCGGAAUAACUCAGGGAAACUUGUGCUAAUACCGAAUGUGCCCUUCGGGGGAAAGAUUUAUCGCCUUUAGAGCGGCCCUCCUCUGAUUAGCUAGUUGGUGAGGUAAAGGCUCACCAAGGCUACGAUCAGUAGCAGGUCUGAGAGGAUGACCAGCCACAUUGGGACUGAGACACGGCACGAACUGCUACGGGGGGCAGCAGUGGGAUAGCUUGCGCAAUGGGAGAAAGCCUGGAGCAGACAUGCCGCGUGGAUGGUGAAGGUCUUAGGAUUGUAAAGUCCUUUCACCGGUGAAGAUAAUGACUGUAGCCGGAGAAGAAGCGCCGGCUAACUUCGUGCCAGCAGCCGCCGUAACAC
rnacentral:rRNA from 1 species